CUCACUUCACGCAUAACCUGAACAGAUUUGGUUGACACUUGACAUCCAUAGAAAUUUUGCCGAUAAUCAUAACCUGUGUUAGUUUACAUUUUCUCCCAGUUAUUUACAUCUUACUCUCAAUUAUCCUUCAGUUUGCGUGUCCUAUCUGUUGCCUUCUCCAUAAUUAUUUCUAUUGACUAUUUAUUCUCGUCAUGGAAGAGUCUUCUUAUGCUUGUUUUGCAAAUGAAUUAAAUCCUCCAUAAUAACAUGUCAUAUCACUCGUGGUCUGCUGUCUGCUGUCUGCUAGCUAGGUGCACGCCCAGGAAUGCCUCUGUUCAUUAAGUAUAUUUUCCUUUUGGUUUGUAUCCUACAGACUUAAGUACUUGCUUGGAAUGUUUGCUUGUUAGAGUGCUUCUCGUUCAUCAGGGAGCCCACUCGAAUCCUUGAAAAUACUCUUGCUCCCUAACUGACUUACAUUAAGCUAUAUUCCGUUCUGAAUGCUCAUUUCUAUUCUCCUUUUCGCUCUUAGGUUAUUCGUAGUUGAGUGGGAGAACCAGCUUGUUAGUUCUGAACAAGGAUGUUGAGCUGCUAUUAAACAUCUUGAAGAAGUGCCACGACGCUCCUCUAUGCUCACAACUUCCAUGUCUACGUUGCGCUGGUGAAACAGCGAGACCCGGAGGGUAGCUCGGCUUCCGAGUCCGUGCCGCCGUCCGGGGCAAGACUGGAACUUGCCCAAGAGAGACAACGAUGCUGGUUCAAGGCUGAGUCUUGAGCGCGACCUACUUGGGAGAAGCAAUGCAUCAUCAGGCAUCAACUUGCUUGUGGUGUGGUGUGCUGCAUUAGCACCUCUGUAGUACAGGAGAGUUGCUGCUGCAGUUGCCGUCUCUGACAUAAGAAGUGCCGAAUCAUUUAACAAAGCAUAUUACUAGGUUUCCUUUGUACUAUGAUGAGUGCAAGUCUUGUGCCUGAUCAGCGGUGAUGGUUCCAGUCAUGCUCAAAAUGCCGCAGGUUAGCCACUGUGUAUGGAUCAGAGUACAUAUGCAAUGGAGGAUGUGGUUUCGACCAAGGCUUAUAUCCAAUGGAUUUGGCUUGUGACAGAGUCUGCCUUCAUUUCCUCCCAGUUAAUCGUCUCGUGUAUGGCAAUGAUCCCAACAACUCUUGAUAUCAAAUGACUGUUGUAACCCUUCUCUUGUAGAUAACAGAUGUAGUGUCAAGCUGCUUGUCACCAAGGCCCUUCUCUUGUAGACAACAGAUCGUAGUGUCAAGCUGCUUGUCACCAAGGCCCACCGCGGUGACCUCGA